ensembl:lncRNA
CAGCACCCCACGCCAGCGGUCCCGCACUCCACACCAGACCACUUCACGCCAGAGAUCCCAUUCUCCGCCCCACAGCACCCCAUGCCAGCGGUCCCGCACUCCACACCACAGAGACUCUUCUUACCAGCACAGAGAGGGUGGAGAGGUAUUCCCAUUAGAUAAUGGAAAAUUCCAAAGGUGGGUUCUCUAUCUACAAUCAGAUAUCGUGCAAAGCUGUCAGAGUUGGGCCAAAACCAUCAGCCCCCAGAGUCUCAGUUCCACCUUGAAAAGAUGAACAGCAGGCGUGAGCUAAAAAAUCUGGAAGGGCAACUGGCAGAUGAAGAAAAGAGGAAUGUGAUGGUCUCCCGGUUAGUCAGGAUUGGGGGUGUAGAUCUUGAGGACUGCGUGAAAAAUGUAAUGAAAAGAGUUCUUACAAACAGAUUGAUGGCAACAAUGAAUAUGGAUGGCUCAGGGGUGAAGAAGGCCUUUGGAAAAACACGGCUAUAUCGUGUUAUAAUAGGUGCUGUACAGCGUUCAAAGCCUUCGGCAUUGGAGGUGGAAAUACAUGGGGAGCUAUCUCCGAUCUGCUCCCGAUCGAUGUGGGGGUAUG